rnacentral:lncRNA from 1 species
AGGUUCUUGAAGAGUUUGAAACAUCGACGCCAAUGAGUUGUAAAUUGUCAAACAAUUCAACAGAAAAAGAGUGUUACCGUAAGACCGCCAUAUGCAGAAGAGCACAAGGUGGCACGUGUGAAUGGAAGAAUGAUGAUCAAUGUCCAUAGCUGAUCAAUCAAAGUUCUUUUGGUGUAUUUACAAUUUUUGAAUAAAGAAUUAUAGAUAAG